rnacentral:rRNA from 1 species
CUUUACUGCAGCUUGACAUUGAACUUUGAUCUUACUUGUGUAGGAUAGGUGGGAGGCUUUGAAACCGAGACGCUAGUUUCGGUGGAGCCAAUCUUGAAAUACCACCCUGGUAAUAUUGAGGUUCUAACUCUGCUCCAUUAUCUGGAGCGAGGACCAUGUCUGGUGGGUAGUUUGACUGGGGCGGUCUCCUCCUAAAGAGUAACGGAGGAGUACGAAGGUGCGCUCAGCGUGGUCGGAAAUCACGCGUAGAGUAUAAAGGCAAAAGCGCGCUUAACUGCGAGACCCACAAGUCGAGCAGGUACGAAAGUAGGUCUUAGUGAUCCGGUGGUUCUGUAUGGAAGGGCCAUCGCUCAACGGAUAAAAGGUA